AUGGCAGCUAGUAUUCAAUUUUUCAGAAGUGUUGUAUUAAUCAUUCCUUCCAUGACAACUCAUAUUUACUAAGAACGUUUACUGUACAAUUUACCGAUAUCAUCAAUUUCAAAUAUUAAAACAAUAUAUGUUCCAGACUAUGGGCCGUCACUGUUUUCUAUCAUUUUGGCAAGCCCUAUUCCAUGGAUAACAGAUUCUUGACUUUCUUUCUGUGUCUCGAAUUCUGUCUUAUUGCAUUGUCGUGCAGUUUUAACAAACAUUUAGCAUGAUAUCUGCUCCUGAAAUAUUAAUCUCCAGCACUGAGUCUGGCUAAAAGAUCAAUGGUUAGUAGUUCAAGUGACAGUCAUAUACUCUAUUGUCGAUCAUUAUUGUC
rnacentral:lncRNA from 1 species